rnacentral:rRNA from 1 species
GAGUUUGAUCUUGGCUCAGGAUGAACGCUGGCGGCGUGCCUAAUACAUGCAAGUCGAGCGAACGGACGAGAAGCUUGCUUCUCUGAUGUUAGCGGCGGACGGGUGAGUAACACGUGGAUAACCUACCUAUAAGACUGGGAUAACUUCGGGAAACCGGAGCUAAUACCGGAUAAUAUUUUGAACCGCAUGGUUCAAAAGUAAAAGACGGUCUUGCUGUCACUUAUAGAUGGAUCCGCGCUGCAUUAGCUAGUUGGUAAGGUAACGGCUUACCAAGGCAACGAUGCAUAGCCGACCUGAGAGGGUGAUCGGCCACACUGGAACUGAGACACGGUCCAGACUCCUACGGGAGGCAGCAGUAGGGAAUCUUCCGCAAUGGGCGAAAGCCUGACGGAGCAACGCCGCGUGAGUGAUGAAGGUCUUCGGAUCGUAAAACUCUGUUAUUAGGGAAGAACAUAUGUGUAAGUAACUGUGCACAUCUUGACGGUACCUAAUCAGAAAGCCACGGCUAACUACGUGAC